GCUCAGAACGAACGCUGGCGGCAGGCUUAACACAUGCAAGUCGAGCGCCCCGCAAGGGGAGCGGCAGACGGGUGAGUAACGCGUGGGAAUCUACCCUUUUCUACGGAAUAACGCAGGGAAACUUGUGCUAAUACCGUAUGAGCCCUUCGGGGGAAAGAUUUAUCGGGAAAGGAUGAGCCCGCGUUGGAUUAGCUAGUUGGUGGGGUAAAGGCCUACCAAGGCGACGAUCCAUAGCUGGUCUGAGAGGAUGAUCAGCCACAUUGGGACUGAGACACGGCCCAAACUCCUACGGGAGGCAGCAGUGGGGAAUAUUGGACAAUGGGCGCAAGCCUGAUCCAGCCAUGCCGCGUGAGUGAUGAAGGCCCUAGGGUUGUAAAGCUCUUUCACCGG
rnacentral:rRNA from 1 species